rnacentral:tRNA from 1 species
CUACUAGUAGUUGAGUGGUAGAACUCUUGAAUGGAAUGCAGGAGACCCAGGUUCAAUUCCCCGCUAAUACA